rnacentral:rRNA from 1 species
AGUGAACGCUGGCGGUAGGCCUAACACGUGCAAGUCGAACGGCAGCACAGUAAGAGCUUGCUCUUACGGGUGGCGAGUGGCGGACGGGUGAGGAAUACAUCGGAAUCUACUUUUUCGUGGGGGAUAACGUAGGGAAACUUACGCUAAUACCGCAUAUGACCUACGGGUGAAAGCAGUGGAUCUUCGGACCUUUCGCGAUUGAAUGAGCCGAUGUCGGAUUGGCUAGUUGGGGGGGUAAAGGCCCACCAAGGCGACGAUCCGUAGCUGGUCUGAGAGGAUGAUCGGCCACGCUGGAACUGAGACACGGUCCAGACUCCUACGGGAGGCAGCAGUGGGGAAUAUUGGGCAAUGGGCGAAAGCCUGAUCCAGCCAUACCGCGUGGGUGAAGAAGGCCUUCGGAUUGUAAAGCCCUUUUGUUGGGAAAGAAAAGCAGCAGGUUAAUACCCCGCUGUUCUGACGGUACCCAAAGAAUAAGCACCGGCUAACUUCGUG